GCCGUACCAACAGUGUGCCUGUGUUAACUGGAGUAAAACAAAAGAUGCUAAUAUGUUGGAUAUCUUUUUUUAAUGAUAUCUGACAUAGGACCAGGAUGAAGGAGAGGGCUUGGAGCAAAUGAAACAUUGGGGAGGUGAAAAAAAGGCUAGGGGUAUGGAUAAAGGAUGGGUGGGAGGCGGGAGGGUUGGAUAGAGGAUGGAGGCUGGGUUGUAUACAGGUCGUGGUGAGGGACAUGAAAAUGAAGAUGGCAA